rnacentral:rRNA from 1 species
AGAGUGAACGCUGGCGGUAGGCCUAACACAUGCAAGUCGAACGGCAGCACGGUAAGAGCUUGCUCUUAUGGGUGGCGAGUGGCGGACGGGUGAGGAAUACAUCGGAAUCUACCGUUUUGGUGGGGGAUAACGUAGGGAAACUUACGCUAAUACCGCAUACG